rnacentral:rRNA from 1 species
AUGUUUCGGGCACGGUCCGGGCUUAUAUUUCUUGGAACAGAAUGUCAUAGAGGGUGAGAAUCCCGUCUGGAGCUCGGACACGACCUAUGUGAAACUCCUUCGACGAGUCGAGUUGUUUGGGAAUGCAGCUCUAAAUGGGUGGUAAAUUUCAUCUAAAGCUAAAUAUUGGCCAGAGACCGAUAGCGCACAAGUAGAGUGAUCGAAAGAUGAAAAGCACUUUGAAAAGAGAGUUAAAAAGUACGUGAAAUUGUUGAAAGGGAAGCGCUGGCGACCAGACUUGCGCGUCGGGGUUCCCCCUUGCUUCUGCUUGGGUUACUCCCCGGCGUUCAGGCCAACAUCGGUUUCGGGGGUUGGUUAAAGGCCUUGGGAAUGUACCUACCCUCCGGGGUAGACUUAUAGCCCAGGGUGUCAUGCGACCUCCCGGGACCGAGGAACGCGCUUCGGCUCGGAUGUUGGCGUAAUGGUUGUCAGCGACCCGUCUUGAAACACGGACCAAGGAGUCUAACAUCUAUGCGAGUGUUAGGGUGUCAAACCCUUACGCGGAAUGAAAGUGAACGGAGGUAGGAAGCCUUAAGGCUGCACUAUCGACCGAUCCUGAAGUUUACGGACGGAUUUGAGUAAGAGCAUAGCUGUUGGGACCCGAAAGAUGGUGAAC